GACGAACGCUGGCGGCGUGCUUAACACAUGCAAGUCGAACGGAAAGGCCUCUUUCGGGGGGUACUCGAGUGGCGAACGGGUGAGUAACACGUGAGUAACCUGCCCUUGACUUUGGGAUAACUUCAGGAAACUGGGGCUAAUACCGGAUAGGAGCUCCUGCUGCAUGGUGGGGGUUGGAAAGUUUCGGCGGUUGGGGAUGGACUCGCGGCUUAUCAGCUUGUUGGUGGGGUAGUGGCUUACCAAGGCUUUGACGGGUAGCCGGCCUGAGAGGGUGACCGGCCACAUUGGGACUGAGAUACGGCCCAGACUCCUACGGGAAGCAGCAGGGGGGAAUAUUGCACAAGGGGUGGAAGCCUGAUGCAGCAACGCCGUGUGCGGGAGGACGGCCUUCGGGUUGUAAACCGCUUUCGCUCAUGACGAAGCUUUGUGUGACGGUAGUGGGUAAAGAAGCACCGGCUAACUACGUG
rnacentral:rRNA from 1 species